rnacentral:rRNA from 1 species
UGGGGAAUAUUGCACAAUGGGCGAAAGCCUGAUGCAGCAACGCCGCGUGAGUGAUGAAGGCCUUCGGGUUGUAAAGCUCUGUCUUUUGGGACGAUAAUGACGGUACCAAAGGAGGAAGCCACGGCUAACUACGUGCCAGCAGCCGCGGUAAUACGUAGGUGGCAAGCGUUGUCCGGAUUUACUGGGCGUAAAGGAUGCGUAGGCGGAUUUUUAAGUGAGAUGUGAAAUACCCGGGCUUAACUUGGGUGCUGCAUUUCAAACUGGGAAUCUAGAGUGCGGGAGAGGAGAAUGGAAUUCCUAGUGUAGCGGUGAAAUGCGUAGAGAUUAGGAAGAACACCAGUGGCGAAGGCGAUUCUCUGGACCGUAACUGACGCUGAGGCAUGAAAGCGUGGGUAGCAAACAGGAUUAGAUACCCUGGUAGUCCACGCCGUAAACGAUGAGUACUAGGUGUAGGAGGUAUCGACCCCUUCUGUGCCGCAGUUAACACAAUCAAGUACUCCGCCUGGGAAGUACGAUCGCAAGAUUAAAACUCAAAGGAAUUGACGGGGUCAUAGCUGUUUUCC